AUAUUGCACAAUGGGCGCAAGCCUGAUGCAGCAACGCCGCGUGGGUGAAGAAGGCUCUUGGGUCGUAAAGCCCUUUCGACAGGGAAGAAGGGUCGUAUGGUGAAUAAUCAUGCGAUUUGACGGUACCUGAUGAAGAAGCACCGGCUAAUUUCGUGCCGGCAGCCGCGGUAAUACGAAAGGUGCAAGCGUUGUUCGGAAUUACUGGGCGUAAAGCGCACGUAGGCGGGUCUGUAUGUCGAUUGUGAAAGCCCCGGGCUCAACCUGGGAAUUGCAGUCGAAACUGCAGAUCUUGAAUACCUGAGAGGGUGGGGGAAUUCCUGGUGGAGAAGUGAAAUUCGUAGAUAUCAGGAGGAACACCUGAGGCGAAGGCGCCUGCCUGGCAGUGUAUUGACGCUGAUGUGCGAAAGCGUGGGGAGCAAACAGG
rnacentral:rRNA from 1 species